UCCGGUCCCCCGGCUGCCGGUUCCCCCCCGCUGUCUGGUCCUGGGGCCUGUCUCUCCCGGAGUCGGGCCUCGGGCUCUCCGCCUGCCGAUGGCUGGCCUCCCGCUAGUGAUUCUCGGUCCCACCGGCAGCGGGAAGUCGCGGCUCGCGCUGGAGCUGGGCCGGAGGCUCCGGGGAGAAAUCAUCAGCGCGGACUCUAUGCAGGUUUACAAAGGUUUGGACAUCAUUACAAACAAGGUGACUCGAGAGGAGCAGCAACUGUGCAGACACCACAUGAUCAGCUUCCUGGAUCCACUUGUUUCCUAUUCGGUUGUUGACUUCAGGAAUAAGGCACUGUCGAUUAUUGAAGAUAUCAUUGCCAGACAGAAGAUCCCAAUCAUUGUGGGAGGAACCAACUACUACAUCGAAUCCCUACUUUGGAAAGUAUUGGUGGAUGCAAAGAAAGAGAAGGCUUUCUCUGCAGCAGACUGGGAAACUGGGAGUCGAACACCAUCGCCCAGUCGAAAGGAAGAACUGGAAAAACUGGACUGUCAAGAACUCUACAAACGACUGGCUGAAGUUGACCCUGAAAUGGCAGCAAAAUUACACCCAAACGAUAAACGCAAGGUGGCAAGAAGCCUGCAGGUCUAUGAGGAGGUUGGAGUUCCCCACAGCAAACUUCUACUGAAACAGCGCCAGGAGGAAGGAGGAGGACCCCUUGGAGGAGCACUGCGCUUUCCAAAGCCUUGCAUACUCUGGCUAUACGCUGACCUGUCAGUUCUUGAUGAGCGUUUGGAUCGUCGGGUCGAUGAAAUGCUGGCUGCGGGCCUUCUGGAAGAGCUGGUUGGCUUUCAUACGCGAUACAACCAGCAGAAGAUAGCUGAGAACAGCCAGGACUACCAGCAUGGCAUCUUUCAGUCCAUUGGAUUCAAGGAGUUCCAUGAAUAUCUGACCUCCAACAGCAACUGCAGCGAGACUAGGGAAAAGCUGCUGAACCAAGGUAUCGCUGCACUCAAACAAGUCACAAAGCGUUAUGCAAGGAAGCAGAACAAGUGGGUCCGCAAUCGUUUCCUAAAGAGGAGAAGAGCCCCCAGUGCUGCCUUUAACCAUGGAAUGUGACCAAAAUGAAGAGAAGAGGAACAGACGAGUGUGUGAAUUGUGUGACAAGAUCAUCCUGGGUGACCGGGAAUGGAAGGCUCACUUGAAAUCCAAGAAUCAUCAGUACCAUUUAAAGAGGAAGAAGAGAACUGAGGCACAGUUAAAUACACAAAGCUCUCCGGACAGCAGCAAAAAUAUCCCACAACAAGUGUAGACUCUGCCACUGUGUGCAAAUGUGUCACAAUUUUUCCUGGGAUAUGAUGGGACUUAUCUGGAUAGUGCAAGGCACGGGCUGAGCUGUGGCUGUGUUCUGUGACUUACUGUUAAGUUAAUGCAGCACAGCUCUUUAUGAACUGGAGACACUGAUGUCUCUGUAGCUCUCUGUUUACUGCUGGUGUUCUCCAUGGUUUGAAAAGUAAUCGAUUUCAGAUUUGAUUCUAAAUUGUGUGCAGUCAGAGCUUGCUGGUGGUAGGAAGAUUUUAUGAUUUUAUUGAAAUUUGGGGACUUGUGACUUGGUGUUGAACAGAUGUAUGGAGAUUUUGCCACACUGUGACUGCACCCCAUGGUCAAAUAGUCCUCUCUCUCUAUCUCCAAUGUUGGUAUGACUAAUAAACCAAAAGGGUUCAAAGAAAAUUAAAAGUAAAUAAUAGUUUUUUAAAAAACCAAUGAUUUUUCUGUUGUCUUUGCUCCCAGUAAUGGAGAUUAAUCUUUAGUUGACAACUUUAAUCUGGUGACAGGCUGUAGGUAUUGGUAAAUAUGAUCAUAAUUCAAUUGUAUUUAAAGAAGUCAUGGAAAAGGACAAAGUUACAGCAAGAAUAAAAUUGUUAGAUUGGGAGAAAAACUGACUUAGAGUGGGGGCAUUUAAUUUGACCAAAGUGAAGAGGAAGUAGUCAUUUGACAGCAAAUCAGUAAUCUAUUGAAGGAGGAGACGGAAUAAGAUGCAGAACAGAUUGGUUUCUCAAAGAAAAUGGGUGCCUUCCCUGAAUCUGGAUAGUUACUGCACACCAGCCCCACACUGUUGCAAACACUAACAGACAACAGAAAGAGUGUCAUCUGUUAUCUUACCCCAAGAGAAAAUAUCACCAUAUGAAAUAAUUAAUUUUACAUGGAAAUCAUGUCUGUCUCUAGAUCUGUGAGAUUUGACAUGGCCAUUAAUUCCACCCAGUGUACUGUUACAUUUCCAAUCUAAAUUAAAUACAUUUCCACACAUUGCAGGGUAACAGGCAUUGUCAAUUACCAUAUUGAAUAUUAUCCUGUCAAUUGCAUGGGGAACACAGAGGAACACAGUCUCGAUAAUAGGCCGAGAGAACAAAUCCCUGAUGACAAAUCUGGAAAGUCAUUGUGACCACUGGCCUAUGAUCUUAUGGCUGAACUCAAAGUAUCAUCUUGUUCCAGAUGGAGAGACCACAAUCUCUCUGAAUGAAUUGGUUUUGUUAUUGUACCACGUUCUUUCAGAAAUGUCCAACUGUACAGUUUUUCAUUAUGUACAGGAUUAGGGUUUUGCUCUGUUCCAGUUUGGUGCUGUAUAUGCUGACUGUGCUUUUAGCCACGCAGACUGAGCCCAUUCCAGACAGUUCACUUACAAAGCUUAUUCAAAGGUGAAUCAUGACUCUUUUAUAUCCUGCUGGGUAGCCCCAGCUCUGCUUUUGAGACUGUGCCCCCAGAUUCACAGAUAAUAUUGAGCAGCAGCAGUUAAAACAUUAUUUAUAUUGAAUCCAUACCUUUGAAUUUUGCGAUAAAUCAGCUUGAGCCUCACUUUACAUUUGGACUCAAAACUUAAAAAUCCUGUGGCAGGAUUCUCAAAAUGCUGGUUUGGAAUUUUGGCAUCAGUUCUUGCUCAAAUGUUUCCUGAAUAAACAACCUUAACAAGUUAA